GUGCUCACUUUGGCAGCACAUAUACUAAAAUUGGAACGAAACAGAUUAGCACAGCCCCUGCACAAGGAUGACACGCAAAUUUCUGAAGUGUUCCAUAUUUUU
rnacentral:snRNA from 1 species